rnacentral:lncRNA from 1 species
AAAAGUGAGAACUUGCAUCAAACUGGCGAAAAUCAGCUUUUUCUGCUUGCUGUACCGGUACAGACAUCACCUUGUACCGGUACAAGCUGGCAGAUUCGUGGCAGCAAGGCUAUUUUAGUCUUUUCACAUCUUGAUCUCAUCCAUAUGAAGCCAGCACGACUUCUGGAGCUCAGUGGAGGUUGCUGAGGCUCAGAGCACCCUUCUUCUCAUUUUUCUC